GGCUGAGUGCUAGGGAAGGUGCUGUGGAGAGCUGAGCCACUUUAUGGUAGAGGGAGAGGGAUUUGGAGUUUGUGGGUGCUCUGGAUGGAACACUGACAAGGGGAGAGGGAGAACGUGAGGAGUGGGAGUCUGCUGAUCGCAUGGAACAUGAAAGACCUUUCUUCUUUUUUUAAAAAUAUUUAUUAAUUUAUUCCCUUUUUGUUGCCCUUGUUGUUUUAUUGUUGUAGUUAUUGUUGUUGUUAUUGAUGUCCUUGUUGUUGGAUAUGACAGAGAGAAAUGGAGAGAGGAGGGAAGACAGAGAGGGAGAGAGAAAGACAGACACCUGCAGACCUGCUUCACUGCCUGUGAAGCGACUCCCCUGCAGGUGGGGAGCCGGGGGCUCGAACUGGGAUUUUUACGCUGGUCCUUGCGCUUUGUACCACGUGCGCUUAACCCGCUGUGCUACAGCCCAAUUCCCCAUGAAAGACCUUUCUAUGUAGUCCCUGCAGCCUCAGCAAGUCUACAGCAUGAAUAUGUCUUCUAUUUUUUUUUUUUUAGUGUUUCCCUAGAAUAUAACAUUGGGGGAAUGCUAUUACUGGACCAUAGGGUAGGGAUUUCUCUGUGGUUCUUGUUAAACAGUUUUCCCCAAGGAUGCUAAGGAUUAUGCUGUUUUUAGUGUUUCUCUCUGCGGGGAGAUUGGAGUGAACUUCAGUUUCCUGAGAUGUGCAUUGGGACACGGGGCUGACGACAUUCACAACGCUCACACUGGUCACGCCAAAGGCUGGUGUGCAGACGUGCGAGGAAUGGGGAAGAGUGAGCAGAGCUAAGUGGGCAGACAAGCCCCUUUCUAUCAGCUUCCUGAAGCUGGACUGGACCCUUAUCUAAGCACCUCAGACUCCGGGAAGAAGCAAUGGUGGCUGACUGACAGUUGUUGGGGAAACCCUCCGGAAGUGACUGGGAUCGUCUGUGGGGCCCGUUGGCCUCCUGCUCUCUGACUUAAGUCCACGUAGCUGCCAGUCGUUUCCUGCCGCUCUGCCCUGAUGCCCUGACUCUCGGCGGCCUCUCUGAGUGCACUGAACCCGACUCCUGAGAACUGAGCCCGGCAGGCAUGUGAAUGUCCCCAUCCCCCCUUCUUGAUUCUUCCUGCCGGCUGGGCUGUGACUACCAGUCCUUGGUGGCCCCUUAGUGGCCACCUGGGGAGCCACGGAAUAGCGUGUCACCCCCUGCCACGUGUACUGACAGCAGCAGGUCAGGCAUGUUCAUCAGUAGACUUAGUAGAAUACAACUUCCAGGCACAGCUCA